GGAAUUUUCCGCAAUGGGCGAAAGCCUGACGGAGCAACGCCGCGUGAGGGAUGAAGGCCUCUGGGCUGUAAACCUCUUUUAUCAAGGAAGAAGAUCUGACGGUACUUGAUGAAUAAGCCACGGCUAAUUCCGUGCCAGCAGCCGCGGUAAUACGGGAGUGGCAAGCGUUAUCCGGAAUUAUUGGGCGUAAAGCGUCCGCAGGCGGCCCUUCAAGUCUGCUGUUAAAAAGUGGAGCUUAACUCCAUCGUGGCAGUGGAAACUGUUGGGCUUGAGUGUGGUAGGGGCAGAGGGAAUUCCCGGUGUAGCGGUGAAAUGCGUAGAUAUCGGGAAGGGCACCAGUGGCGAAGGCGCUCUGCUGGGCCAUCACUGACGCUCAUGGACGAAAGCCAGGGGAGCGAAAGGGAUUAGAUACCCCCGUAGUC
rnacentral:rRNA from 1 species